UCUCCGUUGGUGAACCAGCGGAGGGAUCAUUACAGGACUCGCAAGACUCCUACAACCCUGUGAACUUAACUAUAAGCACGUUGCUUCGGCGGGUGUCUCGGAGGGGGUUCUCCCUCCCCGAGACGCUAAACCUGCCGGCAGCCUACUAUACUCUGUCUCUUUGCGUUGGCAUCUCGAGUACAAUCAAACAAGUUAAAACUUACAACAACGGAUCUCUUGGUUCUG
rnacentral:misc_RNA from 1 species